CAUUGGUUUUGUCCUUUUUUUUUAAGAGUGUAAGUUUUUGGUCAUAUGUCUAAUCUAUUGUGACCCAAAGAUAAAAGCAUCUCGUUUUGGCUUAGAAUGAACGCUUAAGAAAAGAGGAAAAUUGUAUCAACAAAAACUGUUACAAUGCAGUUAAGUAUGUGACUCUGUCAGGGAUGAGAUGGAUAAGAGACUACAGAGAUGAGAAUAAGAAUUCCCCUUGUUAGGUAUUUGCAGCCUUUAUCAGGUAUUCAGAACUCAAUUAGCAAAUGGAGGUUUUUAGUGGAACUUAAAUGAUUUAAGUAUCAGAAGGCAUUUCCAUCCUUCAAACUGUCUCACUCAUUUAAAUGUCAGUAGUCAUGCUGUGUAUUUAGCAAGUGACUUAAUUUUUUUCCUCAUAGAUAUAAAAGAAAAAGACAUAUUUUGGCAUUUAGGAAUAUAAAUGUUUUUCUUUUGUUGUUGUUCUUUCAACAAAGGCACUCUUCUGUAGUCUUUUCCAUAUUCUAAGGAAAAAUUAAUUUUGUCAACCUGUAAGAUCAGUUCCUCUUUCUCAGUAUUAUGUUACCUUAAAAUUGAAAUAGAUUAACAGGAAAGAGUAUUUUGGAGGAAAUGGAAAAGGGAAAAUGAGUUGGUAUGUUUUUCACCCAAACAUAGUUAUAUUUUUUUAUUACUUUCUUUGCAAAUUUUCCCACAAUUAGUGUUUACUUGAUACCAUGUUUUUUUUUAUUACAUCAGUAGUGCAAUCAUGUGUACAACAAACUCUCACGCAUAAAUCUUAGCCUGCUUCAGAAAUAAUGUAUUUUUUAAAUAUGUAACUCCAGCCAAUUAAAGUUUCAGAUGUGUGGGAAUAUUUAUGCACAAGUUAAGACUAAGGAUUUCUUUGCUAAUCAGCUGACAAACUGAUUCACUUCAAAGACGCCUAACAUUAUAGUUCUGACUAAUACAGUUUUUCUUGUCUUGCCAUUUUAGCAAGACAGUUUGUUUCACUAGAUCUGUAAAAAUAAUCUGUAGUAUUGCUGAUGAAGCCUCUUGUCCUGAAUUUGGAAAUUCUGUAUGAAGAAAAGAAACAUAAAUAGCUUAUUGAUUUAAUAAAUGUGCAAGGUGACAUACACAGAAAAAAAGUUAUAGUUAUACAGCACUUAAUAGUUAUACAGCACUUAAAAGCUAUAAAAGAGUAGUUUAAUUUUUCCUUCUUAUGUAAGCUGAAGCAAUUUUUCUGGAGUGUGCUGAUAACAAUAGAAAUGUGUGAGGAGUGGUUCGCUUUUUUCCAUAGCACAGCUCUAGAACUUUGAGGCUCUUUAUUUGCCUACAUUUCUUCUUACUUCCUACCUAAUAAGGUUCCAACAAGGAAAGGGUUAAUGGAAUUGUCUGCAUACAUUGUUGUAAUGCAGUUUUUGUUUGAGGAUUUUUUUUAUAUUUGCUUUUGUUAUUCCAAGUUUGUUUUAUAGGAGUGGUCUUCUAAGAUCAUUCAGUCCAGUGUGUGAGCGUCAUUGUCCCUUAACACAAUAUAAUCCUUGUUAAAAAAAAAUAGUUUUCCUUUACUAGAUAUCUAUGGUGUAUAUAUAACCCUCAGUACCAUGCUGGGGUUGUUUCACAUGUAAUAUGUAAAAGCCUGGAAGCUAAUUUCCUAGGAAAUGAAGAUGAAAUAUUUUGUAUUAAAACCUGUUAUGUACUAUAAGAUGCAAUGGCAUUGUAGGCCAAAGUCUGUUUCUGCCUUCCAGUAAGACAGUAAUGUCCUGAUGUAGACUGGAUGGUCUGCCAGAGAGGGAGAGAGUUCAAUGUCUUUCUUAUGGUUUCUCAGUCUGACUUAAUAGACAAAGCAUGUUUUGGCUCUUCCACUACCUCAGUGUGACUCUGAGGUGUCAUGUUGAAGCCUGAUCUAAAGGAAAAGUUUCAAGUUACUUUUCUUUAUAAGAAUGGAAAACGUACAACUUUAGACCUGCUGCAGGAAUAAAGGUGUUUAUUUGGACUUUGAAAGAAAAUGAAGAAGAGAUGGAUCCAAAAUGAAAAAGAGAAGGGAGGUCACAAGACCUUUCUGUAUUUACUGAUGUGGAUAUGGAUUUGGUGCCGUACUGCUUGAGGGACAAGACGGAAGAAGGGAUUCUGUCUCGCACUUCCUCAAGUGCCAGUGGACAUUCCACAAUUCUCCCCAAGUAGAGUCUCACAGGCUGAACACAUCACUGGGAGAUGCAAAAGUUGAAGGACUUAUUUUCAAUGUGAUACCAGUCGUCUCCAGGAGAAAUAACUGUGUUGCCUUGACAGGAACAGACCCUCUGCAUCUGCUGAAAGACAUGGAUAAAAAGAAUAAAUUAGCAGAAGAGAAUAUGUUUUUAUCUGCACUAGGUCAUAACUUCUGUUGCCCAAGAAGUUGUAUUUGAAGGAAAGGCAAAAGGAUCAAAAGAGAAGUUCAGCAGAACACAGUGUAACGUUUGUCGUCAGAGGAAUUGUACAGAGGAUAAAUGCAAACUUUUUGUUAGAUACCUGGAUUAUAAGCACUCAGUGGAGACCAUGCACUUGCUAUACCAGCUGCAGAAUCCUUUCCACUCAAUCCCUUUGGAAAAAAUUGGCUUUCACUUACAUGUUUGUUGGCCUCAUGGGGCUGUGGGGCCAGUGUCCUUGCUAUAUUAAAGCCAAACCAAAACAAACUGCAUUUUUUGAGUAAUAAUGUAAACCUGUAUGUUUUUAAAAUUGUAAGAUGUGACGUUUUCAGAUUGGUUUAUCAGAGGAUUUCAUAAAAUAAGUUAAUUCAUUUAAGCCUUGCAUUCAUUUUAAAGCUAAGAACCGUUUAUUCAUAGCAGUAAAAACAUUUGUAAAACAGCACAUUGUUUGCUAAAGCACACUUUGAACAUGCUUUUAGUUCAAUUGCUUUUGUGUUUAGCUGCUCAGAAUGAAAUAUGUUACAAUACCCUCUCUUGCCAUAAUCCACCUCCAAAAGUAGGAAAUGAAGGCAUUUGCUAUAACAAAAUUAGAAACUGAUACAGAGGACUGCUUUGGGGAUAGUGUGAUGAAACCUACAUUUUGGAGUGGAUUACAAAUACCUAUAAUAGAGUUGUGUUUUGAGGCUUUUACAUUUACACUACCUAUCUUUGGUAAGUGCUCUAUAAGGGAUACUUGCUGUAAAAAUGUAAAGGAGAAAGGGAGAGAAAUGUGAAAUGGUAUUUAAUUAAAUUUUAUCCCCAAGAAAUCAGCAUGUUCUCUAUAUGGUGCUCAUGACAUCUUCAAGGCUCAAUUAUUUAUUUUUGUGUAGCUUAAUUGCUGUGGAUCAGCUGAGCCAUGUUAAUGAUCAACAUGCAUAUUCUUGGCCCCAUGAAAUACGAGAUAAAAGCUUGCUUCAAGUUUUAAAUUGGUGUUAAGUCCUAGAUUGACUUUAAAACUGGACGUGUUAACUAUUUUAGCAUGUGAAAGGUUGUUAAACUUAAGCUUAAAUCUAAGCAGAAGGUGACAGGCAGUUGUAUUGAAAUUUCCUAGAAAUUUCCUCUUUCUUUGUUCAAAGAAGCAUUCAAUUUCUAUAAGAGUUUUGCUUUUUUGUACCUUGGAGCCCAAGUAUUUUGAAAUAAUUAUUUAAAUCUUUUCUGAUACCAGAGAUUGCAAAGCUGCUAUGUAACAAUCAGUUCACUUCCGUUGCAGCCAAUGGAUUUCUCUAUCUUUUAAUAAACACACCUUUUAUUAAGUUGUCUGUCACCAAGCCAAGAGCUGCAAUUAUACAGUUCUGAAAUUCGCUGUCCUUUUGGAUAUUUCAGGAUACCCUAUCUAAAUACUCAUGUUAAUUCAGUGGUUGAUAGUGACUUUUAUAUUGUUUCUUCACAAGUAAGCUGGUAUAUAUUUUUAACUGUUAUAAAAGAUAAUGUCCGAAGUUUUUAGACUGUUAUGUUUUUGUAUGUAGAACUUGUAUUAAAAUAGUGUUUUGAAUUUGA